UACGUAGGGUGCAAGCGUUGUCCGGAAUUAUUGGGCGUAAAGAGCUUGUAGGCGGUUUGUCGCGUCUGCUGUGAAAUUUCGGGGCUCAACCCCGAACUUGCAGUGGGUACGGGCAGACUAGAGUGUGGUAGGGGAGACUGGAAUUCCUGGUGUAGCGGUGAAAUGCGCAGAUAUCAGGAGGAACACCGAGUGGCGAAGGCAG
rnacentral:rRNA from 1 species